rnacentral:misc_RNA from 1 species
AAAGUCGUAACAAGGUAACCGUAGGUGAACCUGCGGUUGGAUCAUUGCUGAAUACCUUGUUGGCCCAGUUCCCUCUUUACCGAGGUUGAGCUGGCCGGCAUUGACCCUGUGCACCUUUUGUAUCUUGGCCGUGUUACUCUAUCUCUAGCUCUAGCUUCUAGCUUUUCCAGCGUUGCCGGCAAUCGUCUCUUUCCUAGAAACUUUUGCUGUAUGGUUCGUUGGUUAGUUCUUGGAUGGUGCUGCUGGAUUAGAACACGGCCAACAAAACAAACCAGCCGUUAAACUGUAACCUAACAUGCGAGUAAAGAGUAACAACUUUUGACAACGGAUCUCUUGGCUCUC